UUAAGCGACUAAGCGUACACGGUGGAUGCCCUGGCAGUCAGAGGCGAUGAAGGGCGUGCUAAUCUGCGAUAAGCGCCGGUAAGGUGAUAUGAACCGUUAUAACCGGCGAUACCCGAAUGGGGAAACCCAGUGUGACUCGUCACACUAUCAUUAACUGAAUCCAUAGGUUAAUGAGGCGAACCGGGGGAACUGAAACAUCUAAGUACCCCGAGGAAAAGAAAUCAACCGAGAUUCCCCCAGUAGCGGCGAGCGAACGGGGAGGAGCCCAGAGCCUGAAUCAGCAUGUGUGUUAGUGGAAGCGUCUGGAAAGGUGCGCGAUACAGGGUGACAGCCCCGUACACAAAAGCGCAUGUGCUGUGAGCUCGAUGAGUAGGGCGGGACACGUGGUAUCCUGUCUGAAUAUGGGGGGACCAUCCUCCAAGGCUAAAUACUCCUGACUGACCGAUAGUGAACCAGUACCGUGAGGGAAAGGCGAAAAGAACCCCGGCGAGGGGAGUGAAAAAGAACCUGAAACCGUGUACGUACAAGCAGUGGGAGCACCCUUCGGGGUGUGACUGCGUACCUUUUGUAUAAUGGGUCAGCGACUUAUAUUCUGUAGCAAGGUUAACCGUAUAGGGGAGCCGGAGGGAAACCGAGUCUUAAUUGGGCGUUAAGUUGCAGGGUAUAGACCCGAAACCCGGUGAUCUAGCCAUGGGCAGGUUGAAGGUUGGGUAACACUAACUGGAGGACCGAACCGACUAAUGUUGAAAAAUUAGCGGAUGACCUGUGGCUGGGGGUGAAAGGCCAAUCAAACCGGGAGAUAGCUGGUUCUCCCCGAAAGCUAUUUAGGUAGCGCCUCGUGAAUUCAUCUCCGGGGGUAGAGCACUGUUUCGGCUAGGGGGCCAUCCCGGCUUACCAACCCGAUGCAAACUGCGAAUACCGGAGAAUGUUAUCACGGGAGACACACGGCGGGUGCUAACGUCCGUCGUGAAGAGGGAAACAACCCAGACCGCCAGCUAAGGUCCCAAAGUCAUGGUUAAGUGGGAAACGAUGUGGGAAGGCCCAGACAGCCAGGAUGUUGGCUUAGAAGCAGCCAUCAUUUAAAGAAAGCGUAAUAGCUCACUGGUCGAGUCGGCCUGCGCGGAAGAUGUAACGGGGCUAAACCAUGCACCGAAGCUGCGGCAGCGAACGUAUCACCCAAGACAACUUUACGGAGUUGACGAUUGACGGAGCGAAGCGACGUCAAAGCGUUCAUUAAAGUCGAGUUGGCUUAGGGAUACGUUCGUUGGGUAGGGGAGCGUUCUGUAAGCCUGUGAAGGUGUGUCGUGAGGCAUGCUGGAGGUAUCAGAAGUGCGAAUGCUGACAUAAGUAACGAUAAAGCGGGUGAAAAGCCCGCUCGCCGGAAGACCAAGGGUUCCUGUCCAACGUUAAUCGGGGCAGGGUGAGUCGACCCCUAAGGCGAGGCCGAAAGGCGUAGUCGAUGGGAAACGGGUUAAUAUUCCCGUACUUGGUGUUACUGCGAAGGGGGGACGGAGAAGGCUAUGUUGGCCGGGCGACGGUUGUCCCGGUUUAAGCGUGUAGGUGUGUGUUCCAGGUAAAUCCGGUUCACUUUAACACUGAGGCGUGACGACGAGGCACUACGGUGCUGAAGCAACAAAUGCCCUGCUUCCAGGAAAAGCCUCUAAGCAUCAGGUAACACGAAAUCGUACCCCAAACCGACACAGGUGGUCAGGUAGAGAAUACCAAGGCGCUUGAGAGAACUCGGGUGAAGGAACUAGGCAAAAUGGUGCCGUAACUUCGGGAGAAGGCACGCUGACACGUAGGUGAAGUGAUUUACUCAUGGAGCUGAAGUCAGUCGAAGAUACCAGCUGGCUGCAACUGUUUAUUAAAAACACAGCACUGUGCAAACACGAAAGUGGACGUAUACGGUGUGACGCCUGCCCGGUGCCGGAAGGUUAAUUGAUGGGGUCAGCGUAAGCGAAGCUCCUGAUCGAAGCCCCGGUAAACGGCGGCCGUAACUAUAACGGUCCUAAGGUAGCGAAAUUCCUUGUCGGGUAAGUUCCGACCUGCACGAAUGGCGUAAUGAUGGCCAGGCUGUCUCCACCCGAGACUCAGUGAAAUUGAACUCGCUGUGAAGAUGCAGUGUACCCGCGGCAAGACGGAAAGACCCCGUGAACCUUUACUAUAGCUUGACACUGAACAUUGAGCCUUGAUGUGUAGGAUAGGUGGGAGGCUUUGAAGUGUGGACGCCAGUCUGCAUGGAGCCGACCUUGAAAUACCACCCUUUAAUGUUUGAUGUUCUAACGUGGACCCGUAAUCCGGGUUGCGGACAGUGUCUGGUGGGUAGUUUGACUGGGGCGGUCUCCUCCUAAAGAGUAACGGAGGAGCACGAAGGUUGGCUAAUCCUGGUCGGACAUCAGGAGGUUAGUGCAAUGGCAUAAGCCAGCUUGACUGCGAGCGUGACGGCGCGAGCAGGUGCGAAAGCAGGUCAUAGUGAUCCGGUGGUUCUGAAUGGAAGGGCCAUCGCUCAACGGAUAAAAGGUACUCCGGGGAUAACAGGCUGAUACCGCCCAAGAGUUCAUAUCGACGGCGGUGUUUGGCACCUCGAUGUCGGCUCAUCACAUCCUGGGGCUGAAGUAGGUCCCAAGGGUAUGGCUGUUCGCCAUUUAAAGUGGUACGCGAGCUGGGUUUAGAACGUCGUGAGACAGUUCGGUCCCUAUCUGCCGUGGGCGCUGGAGAACUGAGGGGGGCUGCUCCUAGUACGAGAGGACCGGAGUGGACGCAUCACUGGUGUUCGGGUUGUCAUGCCAAUGGCACUGCCCGGUAGCUAAAUGCGGAAGAGAUAAGUGCUGAAAGCAUCUAAGCACGAAACUUGCCCCGAGAUGAGUUCUCCCUGAGACUUAGAGUCUCCUGAAGGAACGUUGAAGACGACGACGUUGAUAGGCCGGGUGUGUAAGCGCAGCGAUGCGUUGAGCUAACCGGUACUAAUGAACCGUGAGGCUUAACCUU
rnacentral:rRNA from 1 species